rnacentral:misc_RNA from 1 species
GAAGAUUCUCAAGAGAAACUCCGACAAAAAAGUCGAAAACCAAUUCAUGGCGGAAAUCGGAACGAUCGGAAGAACUCGCCAUCGAAAUCUUCUCAGGCUGUACGGAUUCUGUUACGACGAAUUCAUGAGCGCGCUGGUUUUGGAGUAUAUGGAGAACGGAUCGCUCGACAGAUUCUUGUACGGAAAAAGCAAGAACGAACUCGAUUGGGAGAAAUUGCUGGAAAUCGCGAUCGGAACCGCUAGAGGAAUUGCUUAUAUGCACGAAGAAUGCCAGAGGAAAAUCAUCCAUUACGAUAUCAAACCUGCGAACAUUCUAUUAGAUGAAAAUUUCUCACCG